UCCCUGGAGGACUAGUGGUUAGCCCACAGCACUCUCACCACUGUGGCCCAGGCUCAAUUCCCAGCCAGGGAA
rnacentral:tRNA from 1 species